ensembl:lncRNA
GUGAGGAGGGGGAGGGGUGGGCGCUCGGGCGCGGGCGCGGGGUGGGGUGGGGGCGGGGGGGCGGGCGCGGGGGCCGCGCGGCGGCCGGCGAGGGCGGGCGGGCGCGCAGGGGGCGGGGGGCUGCUGCCUCCGCGGGCGCCUCCCCACGCCCUGUGCGUGCCGCCGCCGCCGCCGGGGAGCGAGCGGACGUCGCGGCGCCGCGGGGGGGUGGGGGGACGCUGCCGCUGGGUCCGCCUGAGCAGCCGGGCCGCCCCCAGCGCGGCUGGCCGCGCCGCUCGGGUCCGGCCCCCGGCCGAGAGCGGCGGGGGGCCGGCGAGCCUGGCACUGGGGGGCCCCGGCGCCUCCGGACCGAGGGGCCCGGAAGUGCUUCCCUGAAGGCACAGUGACAGGUCCAGUAAGCAGGGGACAAGGAAGAAGAGCUCCAAGGGAAAUUGAGCAGGCCUCUACCUUCUCCUAGAUGAGGGGGCGGUAGGAAGACACCUCAGAGCCUCCAGAGGAAGGAAUGAGAAGGGUCCAGAUCUGUGAGGGAAUAAAAGAGUUUGGAGUACCUCAUAUAGGUAGAGAGCAGGGUGAUGUGGCCUGUUGUGGAUGGGGAAACCUGAGUUUUUGAGGGCCGGAGAGAUGAUUGUUGGGAAGAAGGCUAGCAUAUCCCUGCUUUCUAAAAUGACGGGGGAAUCGGCCUGGUGUUUCCUAAUUGAGGGGCAGGAGAGGUGAGAGCAGACUCUUGAGGGUCCUGGCGUGUGAUCCAUCCGGACUAAGACACGUCAAGUCUUGAUCAUGGGAAGCUUUGGCUGUCUUAAGGAGGAGGAGGAGGCAUUCUCUCAAGAUGAGAGAAAUUCAAAAACAGUUCCUAACAGACACAAACAGGGGCCUUAACUCUUGUUUAUUUAGGAGAACCAAGAAGUGGCAUUUUCCUCCUUAACCUGGAGGAUUAAGGAAAGAGAGGAUCAGCUAAUUUUAGUCUCACAGGAUUCUUUUCUCUCUCUUUGCUUAUGGAACGUUUGGGGAACUUUUUCAUUAAAUUGUUGGACUGACCUAAUUUUUCAGCCUUUUAUCAAUUAUGUGUAUUUAUUGUCUACUGACGACUUUUUUCAUUAGUUACCUGUUAGUUGCUUACUCGUGUUUACAGCAAGCAUAUUGAAUAGCCAACUUGUACUCAGCUUCAUGGGGUUAGUUUGGGCUGUGUUCUUGUCCUAAGAAGAAAUCUGCUCAACUGUAGUAGGUUGACCCUUCAAAAAACCCUUUUUGCAAUUGCUUCUCCAAACACCUUCAGAGUAGUCACUAUUAAGUGAUUCAUCUGAAACUUCACUUGCUCCGGCUUUUUACCUCAGUGGUCCUGUGUAGUGAUCUGUUGGCUUCCUUACAUCUGGUAGUGCCCUAGAUCACCUAGGGAGUUACCAUGAAACAGAAUAAAGAAGGGAAAAAAAGGAGUUUUGACCUCAUGUAAUAAUAAAAUUUUUAAGUUGGAAAUUUCUUAGAAUAGGCUACAUAGUCUACCACAAUUAAAGUAUGAAACAAAUACAUUUUGGAGUUAGAAAAUUUCAGGAUAUAUGGUAUUUCUAUGACUCCCUCUCAGCUACCAACUGUCAUGUUCCUAUGAUCAUGUGACACUUGUGCUUACAUCUAUCUUGCCGUGUUUUUUAAACUUUUCAGAACACAAAAAUGAAUUUAAUCCAGAGUAGUUCAGCUAUCAUUGAUUUAAUAUUUUGAUAGUUUACGUGAAUAGUCAUGUAGUUAAUCUCAAGGUGUCUGUCUUGUCUUUGAAAAUAACUACAAAUAAUUCUUCCUUUUCUCAGAAGUUUGACAUAUUUCCCUUAUGUGUGUUCUCCUAGAAUUACAGAGUGUUGUGUGAUUCCACAAUGAAUACUCCAAGGUCCCAUCCAUGAAAUACCCAAAGGAGCAACUUACUCAUCUUCCCUUAGUUUUUGUUGCUAUAAACAAGAGCCACUUUUCAAUUUACACUCAGCUCAAAGAAAUGACCUUCCAAUUAGCCAGUGUAGUCUGUAGAGGUGGUUAGGGUUUCUUGCUCAAAAUAUGGUAUUUAGGGUAGUAAGAGAUAUUCAACCCAAACUUGCUUCUCUGAGGAAUGUAAGAAUUGCCAUGUG